GCGCGUAUGGCGAGUGGCGACCUACAUGCUCAUAUGUGGAGCAUCAGGAUCGCGUGGAGGCUGAGGUACUCGUAUGUAGAGCAGCAGGCUCGUAUGGAGAUUAGGGUGCUCGCGUAUAAAAGAGCAUGCGCGUAUGGCGGCUUACGUGCUCGUAAGUAAAGGAGCAAGCGCGUGGAUGGCGACUUACGUGCUUGUAUGUAAAGGAGCAUGCGCGGAUGGCGACUUACGCGCUUGUAUGUAAAGGAGCAUGCGCGCGUGGCGACUUACGUGCUCGUAUGUAAAGUAGUAUGUGCGCGAGGCGACUUACGUGCUUGUAUGUAAAGGAGCAUGCGCGGAUCGCGACUUACGUGCUUGUAUGUAAAGAAGCAUGCGCGGAUGGCGACUUACGUGCUUGUAUGUAAAGGAGCAUGCGCGCGUGGCGACUUACGUGCUCUUAUGUAAAGUAGUAUGCGCGUGAGGCGACUUACGUGCUCGCUUGUAAAGGAGCAUGCGCGCGUGGCGACUUACGUGCUCGUAUGUGGAGCAGCGGGCUCGCAUGGAGGCUGAGAUGCUCGUAUGUAGAGCAGCAGACUAGUAUGGAGACCGGCGUGCUCG
rnacentral:lncRNA from 1 species